UUUGUAGUGUUGAGGUAUGUUUUUUUUUAAUAAGUUAUAGCCGUAGGGGAAUGACUUUUAUACCUCUUUACCAGUUUUUUUUUUAAAUAUUUUUUUUAAGUGCCUUCAAGGCUUUGUUGGAAUUUUUAAGCACGUUUUAAGUGCUAUAAGUCGUGAGCCCUGUUUAUCAGCUAGGUAUCUAAAUAGAGGGUAACAAAUGCAACUUCCAUCUUCGGAAAAUCGGACGUUUAUUACGAACCAUGAAAUUUACGUUUAUCUGACGGACAGGCAUUGUCGAACAUUAUCACAUGCACGUUGGUUUGUUGAACACUUGUAUCGUUUCGAUUUCAACGAAUUACGUUCGGCACGCUGUGCAUUUUGUUUACAAUAAAACCGAUUACCUGGUUCGCCGAAUUAACUAUUCCUUUCUUCCGUCGUAAACACGUAUACACGAAGAGAACCGCACGUGCGCCCGAGGUUCAUGGCCGAACGCGAAAUUCACACGCGCGCGCCACAUUUAAAACAUAAAACGAAACGCCAUUUAUUUCAACGCUUUUAAAUUAACGGGAAUUGGUCGGAAAAGGUUCUAUCCAAAAACGGCUAUAAUCUAUAGAUCUUGAUCCUGGUAGACUGGA